rnacentral:rRNA from 1 species
GCGUAAGGGCAUAUCAAUAAGCGGAGGAUCUCUUGGUCAUUUAGAGGAAGUAAAAGUCGUAACAAGGUUUCCGUAGGUGAACCUGCGGAAGGAUCAUUACCUAUCAUCCAGUGUGGUCGCGGCCCCCGGGUUCUUCCCGGGCGGUAGAGGUAACACUCUCACGCGCCACGCGUUUGAAUCCUUUUUUUACGAGCACCUUUCGUUCUCCUUCGGUGGGGCAACCUGCCGUUGGAAUCAUACAAAAACCUUUUUUUGCAUCUAGCAUUACCUGUUCCGAUAACAAACAAUCGUUACAACUUUCAACAAUGGAUCUCUUGGCUCUGGCAUCGAUGAAGAACGCAGCGAAAUGCGAUAAGUAGUGUGAAUUGCAGAAUUCAGUGAAUCAUCGAAUCUUUGAACGCACAUUGCGCCCCUUGGUAUUCCAUGGGGCAUGCCUGUUCGAGCGUCAUCUACACCCUCAAGCUCUGCUUGGUGUUGGGCGUCUGUCCCGCCUCGGCGCGUGGACUCGCCCCAAAUUCAUUGGCAGCGGUCUUUGCCUCCUCUCGCGCAGCACAUUGCGCUUCUCGAGGUGUUUGCGGGGCCCGCGUCCACGAAGCAUCACCAGUCUUUGACCUCGGAUCAGGUAGGGAUACCCGCUGAACUUAAGCAUAUCAAUAGCCGGAGGAACUUGGUCAUUUAGGGGGAGUAAGGGGAGGAGCAUGGGAG